UUUGAGUAUAGGAGAGGGUAGUGGAAUUUCCGGUGUAGCGGUGAAAUGCGUAGAGAUCGGAAGGAACACCAGUGGCGAAGGCGGCAUACCUGGCCAUAAUACUGACA
rnacentral:rRNA from 1 species